rnacentral:rRNA from 1 species
UACGGAGGGUGCAAGCGUUAUCCGGAUUCACUGGGUUUAAAGGGUGCGUAGGCGGGUAUGUAAGUCAGUGGUGAAAUCCCCGAGCUUAACUCGGGAACUGCCAUUGAUACUAUAUAUCUUGAAUAUUCUGGAGGUAUGCGGAAUAUGUCAUGUAGCGGUGAAAUGCUUAGAGAUGACAUAGAACACCUAUUGCGAAGGCAGCAUACUACGGAAAGAUUGACGCUGAGGCACGAAAGUGUGGGGAUCAAACAGG